AGAGAAAUCAUUCAAAAUCAUUCCAUGAAGCCAGUACCACCCUGAUACCAAAGCAGGAUAAAAAACACAAAAACAAAAACAUAAAUGUCAAGUGUG